rnacentral:rRNA from 1 species
CGUGUAGGCGGCCUGAUAUGUCAGAUGUGAAAGCCCUGGGCUUAACCCCAGGAAGUGCAUUUGAAACUGUCAGGCUCGAGUAGGGGAGAGGGAAGUGGAAUUCCUGGUGUAGAGGUGAAAUUCGUAGAUAUCAGGAGGAACACCGGUGGCGAAGGCGACUUCCUGGCCCUAUACUGACGCUGAGACGCGAGAGCGUGGGUAGCAAACA